GACGAACGCUGGCGGCGUGCUUAACACAUGCAAGUCGAACGAUGAUGCUGGAGCUUGCUCCAGUUGAUUAGUGGCGAACGGGUGAGUAACACGUGAGCAAUCUGCCCUUGACUCUGGGAUAACUGCGGGAAACUGUAGCUAAUACCGGAUACUUUCACCGGAAGGCAUCUUCUGGUGAUGAAAGAAUUUCGGACAGGGAGGGGCUCGCGGCCUAUCAGCUUGUUGGUGAGGUAACGGCUCACCAAGGCGACGACGGGUAGCCGGCCUGAGAGGAUGACCGGCCACACUGGGACUGAGACACGGCCCAGACUCCUACGGGAGGCAGCAGUGGGGAAUAUUGCACAAUGGGCGCAAGCCUGAUGCAGCAACGCCGCGUGAGGGAUGAAGGCCUUCGGGUUGUAAACCUCUUUUAGCAGGGAAGAAGCGAAAGUGACGGUACCUGCAGAAAAAGCACCGGCUAACUACGUGCCAGCCGCCGCGGUAA
rnacentral:rRNA from 1 species